rnacentral:rRNA from 1 species
CCACGCCGUAAACGAUGAGUGCCAGAUGUCGGGGGUCAAACCUCGGUAUCGCCGUUAACACAAUAAGCACUCCGCCUGGGGAGUACGCACGCAAGUGUGAAACUCAAAGGAAUUGACGGGGGCCCGCACAAGCGGAGGAACAUGUGGUUUAAUUCGAUGAUACGCGAGGAACCUUACCCGGGAUUGAAAUGUAUAUGCUGACAGGUAGAAAUACUUGUUGUUCCCUUCGGGGACAUAUAUGUAGGUGCUGCAUGGUUGU